GAUGAACGCUGGCGGCGUGCCUAAUACAUGCAAGUCGAGCGAACAGACGAGGAGCUUGCUCCUCUGAUGUUAGCGGCGGACGGGUGAGUAACACGUGGAUAACCUACCUAUAAGACUGGGAUAACUUCGGGAAACCGGAGCUAAUACCGGAUAAUAUAUUGAACCGCAUGGUUCAAUAGUGAAAGACGGUUUUGCUGUCACUUAUAGAUGGAUCCGCGCCGCAUUAGCUAGUUGGUAAGGUAACGGCUUACCAAGGCGACGAUGCGUAGCCGACCUGAGAGGGUGAUCGGCAACACUGGAACUGAGACACGGUCCAGACUCCUACGGGAGGCAGCAGUAGGGAAUCUUCCGCAAUGGGCGAAAGCCUGACGGAGCAACGCCGCGUGAGUGAUGAAGGUCUUCGGAUCGUAAAACUCUGUUAUUAGGGAAGAACAAAUGUGUAAGUAACUAUGCACGUCUUGACGGUACCUAAUCAGAAAGCCACGGCUAACUACGUG
rnacentral:rRNA from 1 species